AAGUCGUAACAAGGUUUCCGUAGGUGAACCUGCGGAAGGAUCAUUAUUGAAUAAACCUGAUGUGGUUGUUGCUGGCUCUCUCGAGAGUAUGUGCACGCCCGUCAUCUUUAUAUUUCCACCUGUGCACCUUUUGUAGACCCGCGCGAUUUGAGCAAUCAAGUCAAGUAGGCCUACGUUUUAUCAUAUACCCCAUAGUAUGUAUCAGAAUGUAUCAGUGGGCUUCGUGCCUAUAAACACUAUACAACUUUCAGCAACGGAUCUCUUGGCUCUC
rnacentral:misc_RNA from 1 species